UACGUAGGGGGCUAGCGUUGUCCGGAAUCAUUGGGCGUAAAGCGCGUGUAGGCGGUCCGGUAAGUCCGCUGUGAAAGUCGGGGGCUCAACCCUCGGAUGCCGGUGGAUACUGUCGGGCUUGAGUACGGAAGAGGCGAGUGGAAUUCCUGGUGUAGCGGUGAAAUGCGCAGAUAUCAGGAGGAACACCAAUUGCGAAGGCAGCUCGCUGGGACGUCACUGACGCUGAGGAGCGAAAGCGUGGGGAGCAAACAGG
rnacentral:rRNA from 1 species